ensembl:lncRNA
AUACAUUACCCAAGGCAUAGCAUUUCAAUCUGAAAACAACUUCUCCUUUCCCCUGGGUAAGGAAAAAAUCCUCUUACACAUUUCUGUAUUAAACGACACUGCAGAGCCCAACAGUAAGACAGGUUCCUAUCUGAAAACAUCUGCACUGGAGAUCUCAAGCUAACAGGAGGCCUGAGGUGAUGUGUGAUGUAUGCACUAGUGCACCAGAGGCCUGAGGUGAUGUGUGCGCUAGUGCACCAGAGGCCUGAGGUGAUGUGUGCACUAGUGUACCAGAGGCCUGAGGUGAUGUGUGAUGUAUGCACUAGUGCACCAGAGGCCUGAGGUGAUGUGUGUGCUAGUGCACCAGAGGCCUGAGGUGAUGUGUGCACUAGUGCACCAGAGGCCUGAGGUGAUGUGUGCGCUAGUGUACCAGAGGCCUGAGGUGAUGUGUGCGCUAGUGUACCAGAGGCCCGAGGUGAUGUGUGCACUAGUAUACCAGAGGCCUGAGGUGAUGUGUGCACUAGUGUACCAGAGGCCUGAGGUGAUGUAUGCACUAGUGCACCAGAGGCCCGAGGUGAUGUGUGCGCUAGUGUACCAGAGGCCCGAGGUGAUGUGUGCACUAGUAUACCAGAGGCCUGAGGUGAUGUGUGCGCUAGUGUACCAGUGUUCACUGGCAGUAGAGGACAGGGCUGAAUUGUCCUGGGACCUUUUAAUCCCACCCAAGCCCAACCUCUCUUAGGGUUGGCAUUGUUUUGAGGAGGCUUGAAGAGAAAAUGAGUAAGAGUUUGCAACUUGAGGUUGUAUAAGCAGAUUGGAG